UUUGGAUUAGAUUUGAGCGGCUCGCUCCGAAAAAGAACAGGCAGGGGAACGGCAGUGACGUGUAGAAAACGAAAUCAAUGACCCGAUGUGACGUUACUUCUAUUUAUAGUGGUACAUUCUACCAUAUUGGUGCCAUGUCUUCCUAUACGUGGAAAGAGGCCUAUGAGGGAUGGACUUGAGGAGAGGGAAGACUUCAAGAAACCUGCACAACCAUGUCUGGAAUAGAUGAACUAAUCCCAAUUUGAUAAAAGCUGAUAGACAACUUCUAGGAACACACAACAGGAAAGUAAUGACUGUAAAGGUCGAACAUAUCAUCUCAUGAAGGGGCAGCAGUUUGUCAAGUGUUAUGCUUUUCCAUAGGAGUGCACCCACAGUACUCUUCAGAUAACUUUAACAUAUCCUUCUCAAAAAGCUGAGUACUGGGAAGCGUCCACCAUGGCGAAAAGUGGCAACCUUCCAUAAAGAUUCAUCAUCAAUUGAUUUAGGGACAGUGACAACAGGAUGGGAACGAUCGAGGAAACUUCUGAGAUUCUUGAAUGGGAGUUAUAUGUAUCUGGGGGGAAGGAUGCUAUUCCAGAAGGCAAGAGCUGCAACAGAGAAGACAUGCUUCCUUGGUCCCACAAGGGACUUGGAGGAUACCCAUUCUGCCUGAAUGUACCAGUAGGUCAGAAAUAAUUGGAUGGCGGUUGUCCCACAGAUUAUGAGGCCCUGUGCCACAUAGGACUUUAAAGGAGAUGUCUAGCACCUUAAAGAUACACCUGGAAGCUGAGUGGCAACUAAUGCAACAUCUGGGCUGUGUUUAAAGCCAUCCAAAACUUCCACCAUUUCCUUUUCAUUCUAAACUGGGGUAACAAAAUACAAUUGUCAUGUUCACAUUAAGGGUGAUGACCAAUCCAUUAAUUUAUUUUGGCACAACACGAUGGCCUGAUCCCCAGGACAUUUAAUGUGAGGUACAUGUCAUAGCAGCAGUGCAAACCUAAAGACCAGAACUACUGUCUGUAAUGCUAUUACUGCCAUUUAAAAUGUCUGAUAGAAGAAAGAUUCUCAUUCCAUACCAAAUGUCCCUCAGUAAUAUGAUCCAGUUGACAUUUCUCUAGAAGCCCCUUUCUUUCUUUCACCCAAGUUAAUAUUGUUUUAUUUUCUUUUAUAAAACACAAGUACAACAUUAUAUAUCUGGGUAAUGACUAAACACUCUGAUGAUAUAUAUAACUUAAACUUUUAAGGCUUAAAAAAGGUUAUGUCAAUAUUAACUAUAAUUUCUGAAAUGUUAAUGUUGAUAAGUUGUUUAAAUGUUAAAUCUACACCUGAGUGUAGCAUUGAUAACAACUGCAAAAUGCUUAAAUUAUAAUUUAUAGAAUAAAGGUAUCUAUUUUGAGUUUAAUACUUAAUAUUAAGGUCUUCAUGUAUUGUUACUUGUUGUUUAUGUGUAUUAGAAAAAAGACUUCUAU